rnacentral:rRNA from 1 species
ACCUACGGGGCGCAGCAGUGGGGAAUAUUGCACAAUGGGGGAAACCCUGAUGCAGCGACGCCGCGUGAGUGAAGAAGUGCCCCGGCACGUAAAGCUCUAUCAGCAGGGAAGAAAAUGACGGUACCUGACCAAGAAGCCCCGGCUAACUACGUGCCAGCAGCCGCGGUAAUACGUAGGGGGCAAGCGUUAUCCGGAUUUAUUGGGUUUAAAGGGUGCGCAGGCGGAGGCACAAGUCAGCGGUAAAAUCGCGGGGCUCAACCCCGCUCCGCCGUUGAAACUGUGUCCCUUGAGUGCGCGAAGGGUAG